rnacentral:tRNA from 1 species
ACCUGGGUGGCUCAGUCGGUUGAGCAUCAGACUUUGACUCAGGUCAUGAUCUCCCAGUUUGUGGGUUCGAGCCCCGCAUCGGGCU